rnacentral:rRNA from 1 species
UACGUAGGGGGCAAGCGUUGUCCGGAUUUAUUGGGCGUAAAGAGCUCGUAGGCGGCCUGUUGCGUCCGCUGUGAAAGCCCGGGGCUUAACCCCGGGUCUGCAGUGGAUACGGGCAGGCUAGAGGUAUGUAGGGGAGAAUGGAAUUCCCGGUGUAGCGGUGAAAUGCGCAGAUAUCGGGAGGAACACCGGUGGCGAAGGCGGUUCUCUGGGCCUUACCUGACGCUGAGGAGCGAAAGCGUGGGGAGCGAACAGG